rnacentral:lncRNA from 1 species
GAAAAUAGAUCAAUUUGAGGGAGUUUAAGCCGUCAAAAUAAAUAUGCAGUGUUCUAGAAACCAAUAAACUUCCAAAUUCAACUUAAUUUGCACUAAAAUUAUAAUCAUUCCAUGCUGUAUCUUAAUCCAACUAUAUUUAAAAGUAAGGGACUUCAUAACUGAUAACUCCCUCAUCACAAAUUUCCUAUAGACAAGUGGAACUUUUACUGUCUUUUGGCAUCUCAAAUUAAGAUUAUCUCUAUAUAAACAUGAGAAGUGUUUACAUUGGCUGAGGAAGCUCCUUCUUGUUUCCACAAAGGUAAAUAUGUUUGGAAUUCUUGACCUUCUGGAGGACUCUAUACCUUCAGGCUUAUGAGGGGAAGAUGCCGGCAGUCUUCAGCUAACCCAAUUGAACACACCAUUCUCUCCUCUAUUUCCAAAUAAGAUUGUACAGCGGGGAUGUCGUAAUCGGGCCUUGGUGUGGGGCUGAAUCCAAUUAAGGCUUUUAGAUUUAUAAAAACCCAUGGUCUAAUUCAACCCAAGAACUAGUUUACAAAUAUAAAAUUUCUCAAAUUUAUUUUGUUAGCCUAGUUAUUAUUCUCUACCAAUGUGAGAUAAUACCCUCAACAAGAUUCCCAUCUUACGGCGCAGUUCAAAGAUGAUACAUGUAAUGGUAGGCAAUCCGUGUGUGGGACUGAAUCCAAUUUGGUGUAAAUCAUUUUUUGGCCACUCACCACAACACCAUCGAGGCAAAUUUUUAGGCAACUUGGGCCCUGCAUGUCUAUGGUGCAAGUCAUUUUUCUUAAUCAAUUGUUUACCUAUACUAUUUUUUUUUUUUUUUGAACUGAUUAAGCAUCAGGUUACUGUAUUACACAGAGAUAUAUACAACUGCUAUGACAGCAGGUCAUUACAAUGAUAUUUACAAUCCGAUAUAUACAUGUGACUUAUAUUAUUACAUUUUUAUUAUAUGAAGUAUAUGCCCAUCCAAAUACCCCUCACGGAAGAGAGAUGUCUCUACUCCACUCGCAUUUCGAAAGGAAGAAAGACGUUAUAAGAAGUCUCCACACAAUUAUGUUUAAUUGAGAGAGGUUGAGUCCGUGGGGACUCGAAUCAUUGCCCUCAUAGUCAUGCUUAACUUUGAGGGCAAUGGUUCACCACUGGGCUACAAGCCUAAGUGGCUGUCUACCUAUACUAUUUACUUUGAAGUAAAAUGAAGUUUCAUUCAACAUAGAGAGAUUUAAGUACCAUCGUACAUCUACUGCAAACACACAUCAAAAUUGAUUAACAAAUUAUUUAUUACAAGUAGACAACGGAUGAAAUUAUUGUAUUUUCAAAGAGGAAAAAAGAUUAUUUAUAAACGUAAUGUAUAUUCAUUCUUCUCUUAAUCCCAAUAAGCCACUAGAUGAGGAUCAAGUCCACAAUUCAAUAUUCCACAUGAUUUUUCCAUUUCAUCUGCAAUUACUAGAUUAAAAGGUAAUAAAAUUAAUUACUUAACAUGCAUUCUAAAUCAUCCUUAAAUUUGAUAUGUUGGGUUCCAGCUGUAGGCAAAACUUUGGAUAAGUACAGAAAAAAAAAAUUAAAAAAGAGUAAAAAUGAAAAAGGAAGAAAAUAUCGAUCAAACCUCUUGUUCAGGAGAAAUCAAACGGAGGGGCGGCGCUGGUUUUUGAUCUAACCCUUGAAGCCCCGACGCGCUAUUUUUCCGGUUACGUAUGAAUUAUUUUCCACAAAGAACUUAAACUCGGGAAGAGAAAGACCAGGAGACAUAUAUAGCCAAAGGCAGCGACUUAAAGUCCUGGUGCCGCAACGUGAUCCAAUCCUUGUCCCCGAUGAUAACGUAGUCACACUUGUCAUCUCAAGAAUCAUUGGACGAGGCAUAUUAACCUUCAUAUACAUGUGGGGUCCAUUUUGAAAAAAUUAGGUGGAGUAUGU